UCUGUUUGAGGACAGCUGUUCCUAAACACACUGUUAAGGCAUAGCUGUCUGCUGUUCGAAACCGUUAAGAGAGCAUUGCUCACAUAGUUCAAACCAUUUGAUUCUGGAGAGCACUGGAGGGAAGUGUUUACAUAGUGUCUUUCUGGGGCUUGUUAGCCAGGCCGUUGUGGAGAGAGCUGUGGGUCUGAACUGAAGUGCUUUUGGCAGUUGCCCACCCUAUUUGACUAGAUGUGGCUUAAUUAGGCUCUGACAAAACUUUGUAAACAAGUUAAGGUAGCUUUUGUGUUCCUUAUCAGGAGCUGAAGCAGGAAAUGAAUGGUCAAGAAGGAACCCAAGCAGAUACGCUAUUGUCUGGUAAGUGAAGCUUCCCAUCUGAUCCUGCCCAUGGAGACACAAACGGCCCCAACUGUGGCUCCGGGGCCCCCACCCACACCAGGCAUUACACCAACACCAAAGGGUCAGGGUGAGCUGUAAAGUCAUUUAACGGGGUGCUGCAUGCGACAGUGGUGUAAACCUGUAAACCCUGUGGCCCAGCUCAGCGCUUCUGUUCCCAGACCAUUUGUUCACAAAUGCAAUCCCGCUUUCCCGUGGCACGAGAGCUUCACCUUGAGACUGAAAAUAAGACGAUCAGCACACACACACGCACAACCAGCGAUGGCCGAUCUAAUGUUUGCCUGAAUGCGGCCUGUUUCGGCUCGGAGCACCUCUCUUCGGUUUAAGUUUCCUUUAGGGACUCGGCGAGACCCACAGCGUCAGACCCCAUUCAGUCUAUUGUUAAUCGAGAGCGUCUACAAUCAAAGUGUGGAGGGUUUGGGUCAGAAGUCUCGGCGAUUGAGGGCUACCCCAGGGGCAAGAGCGUGGCCCCCAG